CCUACGGGGCGCAGCAGUGGGGGAUAUUGCACAAUGGGGGAAACCCUGAUGCAGCAACGCCGCGUGAAGGAAGAAGGUCUUCGGAUUGUAAACUUUUGUCUUGUGGGAAGAUAAUGACGGUACCACAGGAGGAAGCUCCGGCUAACUACGUGCCAGCAGCCGCGGUAAUACGUAGGGAGCGAGCGUUGUCCGGAAUUACUGGGUGUAAAGGGAGCGUAGGCGGGACGGCAAGUCAGAUGUGAAAACUGAGGGCUCAACCUUCAGACUGCAUUUGAAACUGCUGUUCUUGAGUGAAGUAGAGGUAA
rnacentral:rRNA from 1 species